rnacentral:rRNA from 1 species
AUACGUAGGUGGCAAGCGUUAUCCGGAUUUACUGGGUGUAAAGGGUGCGUAGGCGGAUGAUUAAGCGUGAGGUGAAAUGCCACUGCUCAACAGUGGAACUGCCUCGCGAACUGGUUGUCUUGAAUGCUCCUGCCGUGGGAGGAAUGUGUGGUGUAGCGGUGAAAUGCAUAGAGAUCACACAGAACACCGAUUGCGAAGGCAUCUCACGAAGGGGUGAUUGACGCUGAGGCACGAAAGCGUGGGGAUCAAACAGGAUUAGAUACCCUGGUAGUCCACGCAGUAAACGAUGAUAACUAACCGCUGGGUCGUAGUGAUUCAGUGGCCAAGCGAAAGCGAUAAGUUAUCCACCUGGGGAGUACGACCGCAAGGUUGAAACUCAAAUGAAUUGACGGGG